rnacentral:rRNA from 1 species
AGUGAACGCUGGCGGCGUGCCUAGUACAUGCAAGUCGAACGGAGAUUAAGUAGCUUGCUAUUUAAUCUUAGUGGCGCACGGGUGAGUAAUAUAUAGCUAACUUGCCCAUUACUAAGGGACAACAGUUGGAAACGACUGCUAAUACCUUAUACUCCGUAUCUAUAUAAGUAGAUACGGGAAAGUUUUUCGGUAAUGGAUAGGGCUAUAUCGUAUCAGCUAGUUGGUAAGGUAAUGGCUUACCAAGGCUAUUGCGCGUAACUGGUCUGAGAGGAUGAUCAGUCACACUGGAACUGAGACACGGUCCAGACUCCUACGGGAGGCAGCAGUAGGGAAUAUUGCUCAAUGGGGGAAACCCUGAAGCAGCAACGCCGCGUGGAGGAUGACACUUUUCGGAGCGUAAACUCCUUUUCUAGGGAAAGAAUUAUGACGGUACCCAAGGAAUAAGCACCGGCUAACUCCGU